UUCAUGUUGUGGAAAUUCGUAUAUUCAAAACGAGCUCCACAAAAGCCCUUUCUCUCUCGAUCUCCCCAUCGCUGUCACUGCCGCCGGCCAAUUCCGGCCAGUGCCGGCGACCUCCGCUACCACUCAGCACACCCACGGCCCCAUCUCACGAUGCUCUACCUCAUCCUCCCCAUCGAUCUGCUUUCCCCUGCCGGACGACGUCGCCCCCAUUGAUUGUACCCGCUACUACUGCCACCGGCGCCCGGCGUCGCCCUGGACGUCGGCGCGUCGCCGACGCCAUUAGGUGAUCCUCCUCGACGUCCUCACCGCCAACUCCUUGCGGCUGCGCCCAUGGUGGAUUCGGCUCCUCCUCGUCGUUGCCCUGCCUAGGGUUCGCGGUUGCGGUGGUGCUGUGGCUGUCCACGGCGGCGCUACGGUUGCCCCACGCAACCCCGACGACCGCUGACUCUCUGCAUCGGCUUCAACCCUUCCAUGGAAUAUACCAAGUGCAAGUGUGUGCUUGUGUUCUACAUAAAAGCAGAUCUUUAGUAUCUGUGCAACAGAUGGCCUAUUUCUUUCUACUGGUUAUGGACAAUAUCUUCUCUUUCCCCAAGUUCCCUCUCCUAAAUCUGAUUUGAACAGAUGCUACACUGGUAUCUCCCCAUUCUUUCUUUCUCUACUUCUCUCACUGAUAAGAACAGGUGCUCUUUGAUCUUA